rnacentral:rRNA from 1 species
GAACGAACGCUGGCGGCGUGCCUAACACAUGCAAGUCGAACGAGAAAGUUUCCUUCGGGAAACCAGUAAAGUGGCGCAAGGGUGAGUAACACGUGAAUAAUCUGCCUAUGAAUUCGGGAUAACUCGGCGAAAGUUGUGCUAAUACCGGAUAAGACCACGUUUCUUAUGUAACGUGGCCAAAGGAACCUCAAGUUCCGUUUAUAGAUGAGUUCGCGGACCAUUAGCUAGUUGGAGGGAUAAUAGCCCCCCAAGGCUACGAUGGUUAGCCGGCCUGAGAGGGUGAUCGGCCACACUGGAACUGAGACACGGUCCAGACUCCUACGGGAGGCAGCAGUGGGGAAUAUUGCGCAAUGGGCGAAAGCCUGACGCAGCAACGCCGCGUGAGGGAUGAAGGAUUUUGGUUCGUAAACCUCUGUCAAGUGGGAAGAAUAAUGACGGUACCACUAAAGGAAGCCCCGGCUAACUCCGUGCCAGCAGCCGCGGUAAUACGGAGGGGGCAAGCGUUGUUCGGAAUUAUUGGGCGUAAAGAGUAUGUAGGCGGCUGGAUAAGUCAGACGUGUAAGCCCAGGGCUCAACCCUGGAAUUGCGUUUGAAACUAUUCAGCUUGAGUACAGGAGAGGAAGGCGGAAUUUCAGGUGUAGCGGUGAAAUGCGUAGAUAUCUGAAGGAACACCAGUGGCGAAGGCGGCUCUCUGGGCCAAUACUGACGCUGAGGUGCGAAAGCGUGGGUAGCAAACGGGAUUAGAUACCCCGGUAGUCCACGCCGUAAACGAUGUCAAAAGUAACUGUUGGGCGGGUUUCCGCUUAGUGGUGCAGCUAACGCAAUAAGUUGACCGCUUGGGGAGGACGGCCGCAAGGCUAAAACUCAAAUGAAUUGACGGGGGCCCGCACAAGCGGUGUAGCAUGUGGUUUAAUUCGAUGGAACGCGAAGAACCUUACCUACCCUUGACAUACAGAGACCUUUCCAGAGAUGGAUUGGUGCCUUCGGGAACUCUGAUACAGGUGCUGCAUCGCUGUCGUCAGCUCGUGUCGUGAGAUGUUGGGUUAAGUCCCGUAACGAGCGCAACCCUUAUCCUUAGUUGCUACCAUUAAGUUGGGCACCUCUAGGGAAACUGCCGGUGACAAGCCGGAGGAAGGCGUGGAUGACGUCAAGUCCUCAUGGCCCUUAUAGGCUGGGCUACACACGUGCUACAAUGGCGGUGACAGUGGGCCGCGACCCCGCAAGGGUGAGCUAAUCCCCAAAAACCGUCUCAGUUCGGAUUGUACUCUGCAACUCGAGUGCAUGAAGUUGGAAUCGCUAGUAAUCGCGGAUCAGCAUGCCGCGGUGAAUACGUUCCCGGGCCUUGUACACACCGC